rnacentral:lncRNA from 1 species
UAAAGACAAAAUCCUAUGCCAUUAAUUAUUGGUUAUUAUUUUCCAUCUUAAAACUAGCAAUGAUGAUACAAUAUAUCAGCUCAAUAACUUGAAUUAAUUACAGCAAUAAUAACAAAUAGUGAGUUUUCAUACUUUUACAAAUAUCAGCCUCAUUUUAAAACAAUAUCUUUAUGCAACACUGCUGACAUUAUACAAGGGUCUGAUUGUUCUUCAUUUCUUUAUUCUUUCAACUUUUUAAAACUUUUUUUAAAACUUUUUUUAUUUAUUUUUACCCUGAUUCUGUAUUCUUUAUAUUUCAGCACCCCAUCAUUCUCUAUUCUUUACUUUUUGGUCUAUUUUCUCUCUAUUUAAUAUAUGUUUGCCUUGUAUUUUGCACCUUUUAUACUUUAUUCUUAUUCAGUAACACAUCCAAACCUACAUAUACCUAGACUGAUACACAUUUUCAGAGGUUCUAAUAUCUAUAAAACAUUCAAUGUAAAUAAAAAAUACUACAAGUGGACAUAAUAUUAUAAUUACAAUAACAUAAACAAUAACAAUUAUGGCAAUUUAUAAUUAACAAGGAAAAAGGUUAAAGCUCAGUUUACCGGUAUAAUCAUUGUUAUAAUUCUUUACAACAAAUAAUUUUGAGGUUGUGUUAAAUUUGUCCUAUCAGAGAUUUCCAUAGAAGGGAAGUGACAUAACUACUUUAUCUGAAAAAUCUA